UUAGGUAGGCGGUCUAUUUCGUCUAGGGUUAAAUAUCUCGGCUUAACUGAGAGAGUGCUCUAGAUACGGGUAGACUAGAAUAUCGUAGGGGCAAACGGAACUGCACAAGUAGGGGUAAAAUCCGUUGAUAUGUGCAGGAACACCAAAGGCGAAGGCAGUUUGCUGGGCGAUUUUUGACGCUGAACUACGAAAGCUAGGGUAGCGAAAC
rnacentral:rRNA from 1 species